rnacentral:lncRNA from 1 species
AUCAAUUAACCUUCAUAAUUGAACUUUCAAAAAAUAAUAUGCAAAUUUAAAACAAAAAUAAAAGAAGAAAUUAAAAUUCCAAAAAUACUUUCCCUAUUGACUCACAGCCAACCCCAUCACCAGCGCAUCGUAACCAUCGCAGCCUCGUCGUUGUAACCAUCUUUUUCCGUUAUUAACCACCCCAUCUUCUCUCUACCUCAAACUUUCCGAUUCUCCGACCCUCCAACCCUCCACCAUCGCCGUUGCAUUGUCACAAUCACCGGAAAGGCGUUACACUCUCAGAUGGGGUGGUGAAAAACACAACCCUCUCCUAUACUGAAUGGAUCGAAAGCUCUAAAAUUGGCCUUUCCCAAUAUCUCCCACCGUAUUCACCCUUUUGCUCUUCCUUGGUCUUUAUUGUCGCCGCCCGCUUGUAGUGUGUGCCUCACCUCCGUUAGGAUGGGUUGGGCUUUGGAGAUGAUGUUUGUGAAACUUUCUUUUCGUUUUUCAUUUCAUCUAUUGUUUUUAUCAAAAUUACAUGAUAAGUAGGAGUGAGCGCGGGUCGGUUCGGUUCGGUUCUAAAGAGAAUCGAACCGAACCAAAAUUUUCGGGUAUCUAGUAAAUGGAACCGUCGGGUCCAAAUAUAAUUAUGGAACCGUUUGAGUUCGGUUCGGUUCGGUUCGGUUCUGUACUAUAAUUAAAUUUUUGAACAUUUAUAAUAAUAUUAUAUAAAUACAACUAAUGAUACAUUCAAUGGUUUUUGAAUGUUAGAGACUAGUACCUUGUUCAAAUGAUCGCUAUGGUCAAAGCUUCGGUUGACGGAGGUCACAGCGUCGGCCGACGACUGUAUAGAUUUUGGAAGGUUAGCGAGGCUGCGAGAGUGAGUGCGAGAGUGGAGACAACGUUAUGCAUUUUAGUGUAGGUGUUUAGAGUUAUUUAGUGGAUUUGAUCUUGUUGAGCUAAGAAAUGAAAUAAUAAAAUAGGUAAUUGGGCCAAAAAUUUGGAUUUAGAAAUUGUUAAUUUGUUUAAAAAGAAUUAAAAUUAAAAUAAUUUGAUUUACUCAAUAUAAAAAAAAAAUUAGAAAGAUUCGGUUCUUAUUCGGUUAUUCGAUUCUUGGUCUAAAAUCGAGAACCGAACCGUACCCGUCGGUUCUCAAUUUAGAUACCGGUUCGGGUAUUUAAUUUGACAAGAACCGUCGGGUUCAAUUCAGUUCGAUUCGAGUUCGGUUCAGGAGAUUUGCCCAACCCUAAUGAUAAGGAUUAAGUGUACUACAUUAUCCCCUUUAUACCCAUUUUUACCUCAUUUGUAGAAUUUUUUUUACCGUUAC